GACAGAGGUGCCAAGCGUUAGGCGGAAUCACUGGGCUUAAAGCGUGUGUAGGUGGAUUUGUAAGUACCUUGUGAAAUCCCAUGGCUCAACCAUGGAACUGCUCGGUAUACUGCGAAUCUUGAGCCACUUAGGGGCUACCGGAACAAAUGGUGGAGCGGUGAAAUGCGUAGAUAUCAGGAGGAAUACCGAUGGCGAAGGCAGGUCUCUGGGCUGACACUGACGCUCAUGCACGAAAGCGUGGGGAGCAAACAGG
rnacentral:rRNA from 1 species